rnacentral:rRNA from 1 species
GACGAACGCUGGCGGCGUGCUUAACACAUGCAAGUCGAGCGGUAAGGACCCUUUCGGGGGUACACGAGCGGCGAACGGGUGAGUAACACGUGGGUGACCUGCCCUCAGCUCUGGGAUAAGCCCGGGAAACUGGGUCUAAUACUGGAUAUGACUCCAUGACGCAUGUUGUGGGUGGAAAGCCUUGUGCGGCUGGGGAUGGGCCCGNGGCCUAUCAGCUUGUGGUGGGGUGAUGGUCUACCAAGGCGACGACGGGUAGCCGGCCUGAGAGGCGACGGCCACACUGGGACUGAGACACGGCCCAGACUCCUACGGGAGGCAGCAGUGGGGAAUCUUGCGCAAUGGGCGAAAGCCUGACGCAGCGACGCCGCGUGAGGGAUGACGGCCU